ensembl:lncRNA
UCAGCUGUUACCAACACACAGGACACAUGAGAAUCGGACUUAAUCUGGAUAUACGAUAAACUGCGCUAUAAUACCCGUGAAUAGAGAUGAUAUGGAUUGUGAGUAUUUAAACAUAAAACGAAAAUGUAUCUUUCGUCUAAAAACAGCAAGUUGAUGGAAAAUGGUGAGAAGCCUAGCCAUUCGUUAGUGUAGCUGGCUAGUUUAGCCACACAGCUACAGCGUCCAGUGGUUCUCGUGCAGCCAGCAACGUCAGUUAGCUAGCGCCGAUUUGCUAGAAAUCCAGCAGAAAUCCAACUGAAUAUCUAUACUGAUUCAUUCACCGAGUGCGCUAACUUCAACGUCUGGAGUGCAUUGUUGAAACUUAACUAUGUGAAAUGUAAAAGACUGGUAUUGUAACAAUGGCGGAAAUGAGUUAUUCGUUAUGCGGGUAAAAGAGAAUCCGGCUGCGGCAAAGCUCACAUCCAGCAGCGCCGACAUCUGCAGACGGACGGUCCUCAUAAAAAAGUUUAUCUCGGUCCGUUUCUAUUUUUCUUGCUUCAGAGCUGAUUUCGGACAUCAUGGAAUGACAUCAUCCUCUCAUAUGGAAUUGGGGCAAUGUGAAAAACAGUGUCUGAGAUAUACAAUGGGUAAAGAGGACCUGAGACCUAGGACCAUGCAUCAGGACUACCUGGCAUGAUGACUCCUUGCUGUCCCCAGUCCACCUGGCCUUGCUGCUGUUCCAGUUUCAACUGUUCUGCCUGUGGCUAUGGAACCCUAAACUGUUCAUAUUUAUUCUAGAGGUGCUGUCCUGUUGCAUCCUCGACAUCCACUGUGAUCAUUAUUAUUUGACCCUGCUGGUCAUCUAUAAACAUUUGAACAUCUUGGCCAUGUUCUGUUAUAAUCUCCACCCGGCACAGCCAGAAGAGGACUGGCCACCUCUCAUAGCCUGGUUUCUUCCUAGGUUCUGGCCUUUCUAGGGAAUUGUUCCUAGCCACCGUGCUUCUACACCUGCAUUGCUUACUGUUUGGGGUUUUAUGCUGGGUUUCUGUACAGCACUUUGAGAUAUCAGCUGAUGUAAGAAGGGCUUUAUAAGUAAAUUUGAUUUGAUAAAUACACCUCUGCUGUCUUCAUCGCCCCAGCGAUCACUGCCUCAUUGCCUGCGUACGUAAUGUGUCCGCGGUCAAACGACCACCCCUCAUCACUUUCAAAUGCUCCCUAAAACACUUAAGCGAGCAGGCCUUUCUAAUUGAUCUGGCCCGGGUAUCCUGGAAGGAUAUUGACCUCAUCGAGUCAGUAGAGGAUGCCUAGUUUCUCUUCAAAAGUGCAUUCCUCUCCAUCUUAAUUAAGUAAGCAUGCCCCAUUCAAAAAAUGUAGAACAAAGAACAGAUAUGAACAGAUAUAGCCCUUGGUUCACCACAGACUUGACUGCGGCGUUCUGCAUUAGCAUCGAAUAGCCCCGGCGAUAUGCAAAGUCAGGAAGCAAUAUACUCAGUCAGUUAGGAAAGCUAAGGUUAGCUUUUUCAAACAGAAAUUUGCUUCCUGUAGCACUAAUUUCAAAACAUUUUGGGACACUGCAAAGUCCAUGGAGAAUAAGAGCACCUCCUCCCAGCUGCCCACUGCACUGAGGAUAGGAAACACUGUCACCACUGAUAAACCUACAUUAAUCGAUAAUUUCAAUAAGCAUUUUUCCACGGCUGGCCAUACUUUCCACCUGGCUACCCCUACCCUGGCCAACAUCUCAGCACCCCCUGCCUCAACUGGUCACCAUAGCAACACCCACCCGUAGCACGCGCUCCAGCAGUAUAUUGCACUGGUGAUCCCCAAAGCCAACACUUCCUUCGGCCGCCUUUCCUUACAGUUCUCUGCUGCUAUUGACUGGAACGAAUUGCAAAAAUAUCUGAAGCUGAAGCUUAUAUCUCCCUCUCUAACUUUAAGCAUCAGCUGUCAGAGCUGCUUACCAAUCACUGUAUCUGUACACAGCCAAUCUGUAAAUAGCACACCCGACUACCUCAUCCCCAUAUUACUACUUACCCUCUUGCUCUUUUGCACCCCAGUAUCUCUACUUGCACAUCUAUCACUCC